rnacentral:piRNA from 1 species
UCGAAUCCAAUCAGGGAGCAGUUGGUGAUC